GUAUUAUAAUCCUUUUAAUUAAAAAAAAAGAGGAAUGCGAGGAUCUGAGAAGCCAGCAAAGCAGCGCUGUGAUCAGAGCGCAGACGAAUCUGAUUCUGUGGACCGCCUCUCCUCCGCCUCCCUCUUCAGGCUGAGAAGGCGGCGGUCCGCGAGUGCUACUGGGUGGUCAGCAGGUGCUCUCACCCCCCAGGUCCCGGGGCCAAAGGAGGCGGGAGGCUCAGUUGGCCGGGCUUGUGUGAUGCCCUGAGGAGCCCCUUCUCUGGGCCUUGCUCGGCGGCAUCCGUCUUCAGCUCCCCGAGGGGCGUCCUGAGCCAGGUUCCAGCUUCAGAGAUCCAACCCAUCUCAUCACCGCCUGAACCUGCUCUCCGAUGCUUGCAGAGGCUCCUGGUGGCCUAUCGGGGGCCCCAGAGAGCCUUCUCCGCCUGUUUGCAGGAGGUUUCCGCUCUGGGACACCAGCACAGUUCAAUCACAGGAGAGAUGAAGCGGAGUGGGGGGCUGUCCCUAGGGCGAGGGUGAGUCACCGCACACAGACAGACCGGCCUCACCCCCACGUCGGGGGACGCGCUCCGCUCGCUCUCGGCAACGGAUCUCCGGGCAGGCAGCGGCCGGCCACCGUCUUGGGGACCAGGGGAGCUGAUCCCAAGGCCACCCUCAACUAUGUCCUGCUCCCUCCUUGCCCUUCUUCUGGGCACUUUCUUAGGCGUCCGCGCACAGACCAUUAGCCAGUGGCCGGUCGUCGAGGUGCGGCGGGUGGGCAGCCCUCUGUCGCUGCAAUGCACCGUGACAGGGACGUCGAACCCCUAUCUGUACUGGUACCGGCAGGCCCCGGGCGGGCCCCCUCAGCUGCUCUUCUUCUCCGUUGGUGUGAACGACGUACAGACUGAGGCUCCUGAGCACCUCUCGGCGUCCCGGCCCCAGGACGGCCAGUUCACCCUGAGCUCCGAGAAGCUCCAGCCCGGGGACUCCGGUGUCUAUCUCUGCGCCUGGGGCGCACACUGCGCGACCAGGGCUCGCGGCCUUGCAAAAACCCACCUCGGGGCUCGCACUGUCCCCAGGGGCCUGGCUCCCGAGUUCAGGGGGUCUGUGACCGGCUCUGACGCAGCGGUGUGAGGGCCGCUGAAUGGAGCCACCUCAGAGAGAACUUGACCAGGUCCUCAGCGAGCACAGCCAGGCUUCUGCGCUCAUGGUCAGUCUCCAGGGUAGACGUCCAGUCCCUGCAAGCGUCACGAUCCCUCCCGCAGGGCGUCUACACCUAGUCUACACUCCAUUCUCCCCCAAGUCCUGCGGGUCUACACUGGGGAGGGGGAGGAGAGUGGGGAGCACCUGCGGCAGUGCGGGCGGUGGGGAUAAGGACGCAGGCUCCGCGUAACCCAGCUGGAGAGUCUCCUGCUUUGGCUCUCGCUGAGGACAGCAGAAAUCCUGGUCAGCCUUUGGUCCCGGAAAGGGCCGUCCUCCUGAAGCUCCAAGUGAAGUUUUGUUAUUGUCAGAAACACACAUUCAGGAAUUGUGGUGAUGGUUUGGAGCUUCGGGCUUUGGUUUCGCCCUCUGUACUGUCUCUCGCCCCUUCCCUUGUCUGGAAAGAGGGAGCAGAGAGGCAGAUGGUGACAAAGAGAUGGUGGGACCGAGGAUAAAGAAGAGCGCACGCGUGUACAACUGCAAAGGCCGAGGGAGGACAAAGUGCUGGAUGGGACAGGAAAGAGAUGAGUGUGGAUGGCUGGGGAGGGGACGUGGUUGCCUUGGCAACUGAACAUCCUGCUCCUUCCGCUCCCUCCUUCCUCCCUAGUUCUUUUUCUUAAACGGUUUUAUUUUCUAAUGUCCCUCCGCCUCCAGCAGGGGGCGCAAGCGGUCUUAAAAUGCUUUCUGUUCCUUAAUCUGGGACCAUUGAGACGGGUGUUCAUUUCCUUUAAUCUGCUGAGGGAGCUGAGGCACAAAGCGAUCAGGAAAGUCUUCCUCAGGCCCAAAGGCCCUGCUACACUUGGAGGAUCAACUACAUGUUAAACAGCUCUCAGGUCCUGGCCACUGUUCAAUAAGAAUAAAGAUGCUGUCUACUCAUUGUCAUGGUGGAGUCAAGCCCCUUGGUUUUUGAGUUCAAAUUUACUAGUCGUUAUGACCUUGGGCUGGUGAUUGGACCUCUCUGGCUCUCAUUCUCCACGCCUGUAAACCCCCCCUUACUGGAUUAUGUGUCUUAAAUGAGACGACAUUUAUAAAGUCCUACCGCAGGGUCUAAGGAGCCCUGGGGGUGCAGGGCGGCCAACUGAAAGGUCUGUCAUCCCAACCCACCAGCCACUUCACAGCAGAAUGCGGUGGCAGUCUGUGUCCAUAAAGCUUAUGGCCUUGGAAACCCUAUGAGGCAGUUCUACUUUGUCCUUUGUUGUUGUUAUUGUUAAGUGCUGUUGAGUCGGUUCCGACUCAUAGAGACCUUCCAUCCUCACAAUCAUUGCUUUGCUUUAGCUCAUUGUUGCAGCCACUGUGUCAAUCCACCUCUUUGAGGGUCUUCCUCUUUUUCACUGACCCUCUACUUUACCAAGGAUAAUGUCCUUCUCCGGGGACUGAUCCCUCCUGAUAACAUGUCCAAAGUAUGUAAGAUGUAGCCUUGCCAACCUUGCUUCUAAAGGCGUAUUCUGGCUGUACUUGUCCUCCAGGGUGGCUAUGAGUUGCAGUUGUCUCAGCGAUGGCAACAACAACUCUAGGGUCUAACUUUCAAUAGAUGUUAUUUUCUUCCCUUUUAGCUUUCAACAUAUUUUGAUUACAGCUAACUCGAAUGAAAGAAUUAUUUAAAAAAAUUUAAAAUUAUAAGCUGCACAGUAAUAUUAAUAAAUGCUAAAUAUACUUGGAUGGCAAAUUCAUGAAACUUGUGCCCUAUGUGUGUCCCUAGCAGAUAUUGAUAAUCAAUUGGUCUUUUCCAGCCUUAGAAUCCUUCUCAACACAGAAGUGUUCCAGGCAAUCUCUACUAGUCAAUUGGAUUUGGCAGGAGGGCCAAAACAGAGUUUUCUUUCCUGUAACAUACUUUGAAAAGUUCUGGAAAAUGUCACAAAGGAGGUAGAAUGCUAUCUAGGUUUAGCUUUUUAGGAGGCUAGUAUUCAGGUAAUGCACUUGACUGCUAAAAAAAAUUGUUGGAGGGUUAACUCCACCCAGAGGCACCUUGGAAGAAAAGCCUGGCAAUCUACUUCCAAAAAUUCAGUCAUUGAAAACCCUGUAGAGCACAGUUCUACUCUGACACUCAUGGUGUCACCAUGAGUUUUUUUUUUUUUUUUGAUCAGCAAAAUGGCAUUGCUGGCAGGGGAGUCACUUUGAGUAGAAAUGUCAAGGGCUCAGUGAGGGUUGUAAGGUCUGUAAACUGAGGAAAAGCCCAGGCCACUGUACAGGGAGCUGGGCCGACGGGAGCACUGACAGCUACGGAGAAGCUUGAAAACCAUCUAUACUCAUUAGCACAAGUUGGGAUCCCCUGUGUGAUCUGCCCCUCAUCACACAGAAGAACCCUGUUUCCAGAGAGCCUAGGACCUAGAAACCCAAAGUCAUUGCUAAUCCAGGGAUGAAGGUCAUCAGCCGGGGGUGGCAGACCCUGCUUGAAUGUGUCAUCUCUGGUUGAGAAGUCAGGAUCUCGUUUGCUCCUUCCGGCCCUUGAUGGCUGUGCUUUUCUGGGGGACCUGCCAGGCCCCACAUCUCAGCUCUGGUUCUGCAGAUGAAGCAGACCACCAUUCUAACCCCCUCACCCCUUGGGCCCCCACGUGUCCACAUAUGGAAGACCCAGGGCCUAAGGCAGGCGGCCACCAGAACCAACUGCCCUCAUGUCUCCCCCUUGGGACGCAGCCUCCCACGGGAUUCAUGGGGAGAGAACGUGGGGUCCAGACAUGCAGCUUAAGGAGGAAGGGGAAGCCUUGGUUGGGAGGCUGGCGGCACUGAAACCUGGUGGUGGCGUGCUUUUGCCCAGGAGUAGGAGGGUUACAAGUGCUGAGCUGAGCUUGCUGCAGACCUUUGGGCUGACGCUGAGCAAGCUUGGGCUUCUGCAGUCCUCACGCCUCCUGGGGGUCCUGCCUCUCUGGGUGUCUGUUCCCUCCUGCAUUUAUGCUCUCCUCCCCUCAACUAGAUGCAACAGAAAGUGCCCCUGGCCCAGACAGAGCGGCAGCCCAAGCGGCCAGCAGGCGAGCGUGGAGAAGCACAGUCAGGUUGGCGGUGGGUGGGGGAGUGGAGACCCGUUCUGACAUCCUGGCCGCCCUGUUUUCAGCCUGGUGAUGCUCUGGGGCUCCUUCCUGUGACUCAUGAGCUCCUCCCGUUAUGAGUGGAAGGAAAUGAGGGCAAGCGUGCUGGGAGAUAGGGGGCCGGUACCCAAGUGAUGUAGGACCCGAAGGCACCCACCUGGGUUCCAGUGGUUAGGCAGCUGCCCUUCACCCCUCCUUUCCCUGCAGCAGUGCCCUCUGAUCUCAGAGAGCACCUCCAGCACGGGUCAUAUCAGGGGUGGGGUGAGGCUGCAGGUGGGGCCAAGGCACCUACCCUCCCAGGGACCCUCUCCCCUCCCGCUGAGGUUCUGUCUUCACCUCCUGGGUGCUACCCAGGGGCCUGGGGAGAAAGAGCAGCGGUGGAGGCGGCAGGAAGCGGUGGGCGGGUGGGGGGAUGAAGGCCUCCCAAAUG